rnacentral:rRNA from 1 species
AUACAUGAGCAAAAUCUCAACUGAUUUAGAAGAGAAGCAUUUAUUAGAUAAAAAACCAAUAUAUGUUUUUAAAGCAUAUAAGUUGGUGAUUUAGAAUAACUAAGCAAAUCGCACAGUGUAAACUGGCGAUAAAUCAUUCAAGUUUCUGACCUAUCAGCUUUCGACGGUAAGGUAUUGGCUUACCGUGGCAGUGACGGUUAACGGGGAAUUAGGGUUCAAUUCCGGAGAGGGAGCCUGAGAAACGGCUACCACAUCUAAGGAAGGCAGCAGGCGCGCAAAUUACCCAAUUCUAAUAGCAUAAGAGAGGUAGUGACAAGAAAUAACAGUACAAGGCAGAUAAAAUGCUUUGUAAUUGGAAUGAUAGAAAUUUAAAUACUUUUUAAAGUAUCAAUUGGAGGGCAAGUCUGGUGCCAGCAGCCGCGGUAAUUCCAGCUCCAAUAGCGUAUAUAAAAAUUGUUGCAGUUAAAAAGCUCGUAGUUGAAUUUUUGCUAAAAAUAACCGGUCUGCUUUUAUUAAUAAAAGUGGUAUCUUGGUGUGUUUUUAGCAAUAAUGUCCUUUGAAAUGUGUUUUACUUUAUUGUAAAUAGCAAUUUUCAGGAUUUUUACUUUGAGAAAAUUAGAGUGUUUCAAGCAGGCUAACGUUUUGAAUACUGCAGCAUGG